UAGGGAAUCUUCCACAAUGGACGAAAGUCUGAUGGAGCAACGCCGCGUGAGUGAAGAAGGUUUUCGGAUCGUAAAGCUCUGUUGUUGGUGAAGAAGGAUAGAGGCAGUAACUGGUCUUUAUUUGACGGUAAUCAACCAGAAAGUCACGGCUAACCACGUGCCAGCAGCCGCGGUAAUACGUAGGUGGCAAGCGUUGUCCGGAUUUAUUGGGCGUAAAGCGAGCGCAGGCGGAAUGAUAAGUCCGAUGUGAAAGCCCACGGCUCAACCGUGGAACUGCAUCGGAAACUGUCAUUCUUGAGUGCAGAAGAGGAGAGUGGAACUCCAUGUGUAGCGGUGGAAUGCGUAGAUAUAUGGAAGAACACCAGUGGCGAAGGCGGCUCUCUGGUCUGCAACUGACGCUGAGGCUCGAAAGCAUGGGUAGCGAACAGGAUUAGAUACCCUGGUAGUCCAUGCCGUAAACGAUGAGCGCUAGGUGUUGGGGGACUUUCCGGUCCUCAGUGCCGCAGCAAACGCAUUAAGCGCUCCGCCUGGGGAGUACGACCGCAAGGUUGAAAC
rnacentral:rRNA from 1 species